AGUGAACGCUGGCGGUAGGCCUAACACAUGCAAGUCGAACGGCAGCACAGUAAGAGCUUGCUCUUACGGGUGGCGAGUGGCGGACGGGUGAGGAAUACAUCGGAAUCUACUUUUUCGUGGGGGAUAACGUAGGGAAACUUACGCUAAUACCGCAUACGACCUACGGGUGAAAGCAGGGGAUCUUCGGACCUUGCGCGAUUGAAUGAGCCGAUGUCGGAUUAGCUAGUUGGCGGGGUAAAGGCCCACCAAGGCGACGAUCCGUAGCUGGUCUGAGAGGAUGAUCAGCGACACUGGAACUGAGACACGGUCCAGACUCCUACGGGAGGCAGCAGUGGGGAAUAUUGGACAAUGGGCGCAAGCCUGAUCCAGCCAUACCGCGUGGGUGAAGGAGACCUUCGGGUUGUAAAGCCCUUUUGUUGGGAAAGAAAAGCAGCAGGUUAAUACCCCGCUGUUCUGACGGUACCCAAAGAAUAAGCACCGGCUAACUUCGUG
rnacentral:rRNA from 1 species